GGCCAAGUUUUUAAGGGCGCACGGUGGAUGCCUUGGCACCAGGAACCGAUGAAGGACGUGGGAGGCCACGAUAGUCCCCGGGGAGUCGUCAACCAGGCUUUGAUCCGGGGGUUUCCGAAUGGGGAAACCCGGCAGUCGUCAUGGGCUGUCACCCUUGCCUGAACACAUAGGGCAAGUGGAGGGAACGCGGGGAAGUGAAACAUCUCAGUACCCGCAGGAAGAGAAAACAACCGUGAUUCCGGGAGUAGUGGCGAGCGAAACCGGAUGAGGCCAAACCGUAUGCGUGUGAGACCCGGCAGGGGUUGCGUAUACGGGGUUGUGGGAUCUCUCUUUCAUGGUCUGCCGGCCAUGAGACGAGUCAGAAACCGUUGAUGUAGGCGAAGGACAUGCGAAAGGUCCGGCGUAGAGGGUAAGACCCCCGUAGUCGAAACAUCAGCGGCUCGUUUGAGAGACACCCAAGUAGCACGGGGCCCGAGAAAUCCCGUGUGAAUCUGGCGGGACCACCCGCUAAGCCUAAAUAUUCCCUGGUGACCGAUAGCGGAUAGUACCGUGAGGGAAUGG
rnacentral:rRNA from 1 species